CAGCUCGGCAUCGCCCCCUCCCAAGAAAAAGAAGAAAAAGAAAGGCAGCCACCGGAGAAGCCGCAAAAAGAGGAGACUGGAGUCCGAGUGCAGCUGUGGGAGCUCCUCACCCCUCCGAAAGAAGAAGAAGAGUGUGAAGAAGCAUCGCCGAGACAGGUACCCUUGCUGCCCCCACCCUGGGGCCUCCUCUUCCUCCCGUGGGGCCCAGGGCCAGGGCUGUGGUCCUUCAUAGGUCUCCCUGGGCCACCCCAGGCAGGCUCAAGAGAACUUCUUUAUUGCCCUACAGGUCAGAUUCUGGGUCUCGGAGGAAGAGACGGCACAGGUGAGCGGUGCUUUGCAGAGGACACGGUCAGUGGUCCCUUAAGGGACCAAAGCCCAAAUGACGCAAUGAUGGGAGGCAGUUUUGAGGGUCCCACCUGGCUCCGUCCUUCAGCUCCAGGAUUCCUUCCCAGAGCCAGGCUGGGAGGACUGGGCAGUGGAGGAGGAACAGGAAAACCAACUGUUUGCAACCCUCACCUGCCCCAUGCAUCAGCCAUGACGUGGGGACCCCAAGAAUUUCUAGACAACAUGGCAGGUCCAAUGCCCAAGGGGUGUGUCUGUCUGUAGAGGUGCCGGUUAGACAAGCAGAAACACCAAGACCCCGAAUUUGCAGGGAAAGAGCUCGCCAGGCAGGAGGACCUCCAUCGUGAGCUGGGAAGGCUCCAUGGAUAGGAGGCGGGGUUGGGGAGCUGUGGCUAGAGGUAGAGUUUCUCGGGGACAGAUGCUAGCCUCCCAACAGGUUUGACUGCCAGGUUAUGGAGCAUCCUCCACCCAGAAGGGCUGGGGGCUAGCGUGGGGGAGCUCUGAGCAGGGCAGUGGCUUGCUCAGGGUGGACUGGGGGAGGGAAGAGGAAGUGAAAGACAAGAUUCCAGGCAGAGGCAGAGUGAUGCAGGAGAAGAGGGUUGCUGAGAAAGCAGAAAACAGCCUGAGCCAGGCACGGUGGCUCAUGCCUGUAAUCCCAGCACUUUGGGAGGCUGAGGCAAGCGGAUAGCUUGAGGCCAGGAGUUUGAGACUAGCCUGGUCAACAUGGUUAAAUCCUGUCUCUACUAAAAAUACAAAAAUUAGCUGGGUGUGGUGGCGAGCUCCUGUAAUCCCAGCUACUCGGGAAGCUGAGGCACGACAAUCGCUUGAACCGGGGUGGCGGAGGUUGCAGUGAGCCAAGAGGUUGCAGUGGAGUGCAUGGCACUCCAGCCUGGAUGACAGAGCGAGACUCUGUCUCAGGAAAAAAAAAAAGACUGGGCGCAGUGGCUCAUGCCUGUAAUCCCGGCACUUUGGGAGGCCGAGGUGGGUGGAUCAUUUGAGGUCAGGACUUUGAGACCAGCUUGGCCAACAUAGUCCGUCUCUACUGAAAAUACAAAAAUUAUCCAGGCAUGGUGAUGGGCGCCUGUAAUCCCAGCUACUUGGGAGGCUGAGGCAGGAGAAUCGCUUGAACCCAGGAGGAGGAAAUUACAGGGAGCUGAGAUCGCACCACUGCACUCCAGUCUGGGCGACAGAGCAAGACUCUGUCUCAAAAAAAAAAAAAAAAAAAAAAAAAAAAAAAAAAAAAAAAAAAAAGGGAAGGGAAAAGGGAGAGGAGAGGAGAGGAUAAGAGAGGAGAGGAGAGGAGAGGAGAGGUCAGGUCGGAAGGAAGUUGUUAGGCAGUCACAUUCCAGGGGUGGCAUCAGAGCCAGACUCCCUCCCAGCAGCCCAGAGGAAGGGCAGAGUCCGGAGUUCCUUCCUUGCAGUGGGAAUUUGCCAAGUAGGGAGAAGCCUACAUAAACACCUAAUCCUGCCCCUCCAAUGUCCCCAAUUUUUCAUCUUCCCCUGGCCUCCCAGCAUCUAUGGAUCAGUGUGAGUCCCUACUGCCCCCCAGUGGCCACCAUUAGCUUACACACACCCUGUGGCCAGCUCCCAUCCUUCCUGGACAGGUCCUAAAAGUGAACUAGGAAUAGACCAGCUUCCAAUGGGGAGACUGAAGCCCAAAGCAGCCUCCAGCACCCAAAUCCUUAGCCUCCGGGCCUGCCCUGCACUCACUCUGCUCCUGCGGGAAGCACAUUUCUGUGGUUCUUAGCAUGGCUUUGUUUUGGGGUCAGAAGGACUGAAGGGAUCUGGUGGCACCAGGAAGGAUGGGGCUGAGGACUGGGGCUGGGUGAGACCUUUGAGGGCUAACCAGAAGCUUCUCAGGCUUUUCAUCAAAGUUAGAGGUUGCUGGGUUGGGGGACUUGCCCCAGAGGGCUGGAUGGGAUGUGACGGAAAGCUGUGGGAGUUGGGAGGGGGCAGCCCUGGAGAUGGAUCCAGAGCUGUCAUUCAAAAACAGGGAGAUUGGCCAGGCACGGUGGCUCACACCUGUCAUCCCAGCACUUUGGAGGGCUGAGGCGGGUGGAUCACUUGAGGAGUUUGAGACCAGCCUGGCCAACAUGGUGAAAUCCUGUUUCUACUAAAACAAACAAACACAAAAUAGUCAGAUAUGGUGGCAGGCAACUGUAAUCCCAGCUACUUGGGAGGCUGAGGCAUGAGAAUUGCUUGAAACUGUGAGGUGAAGGUUGCGGUGAGCUGAAAUUGUGCCACUGCACACCAGCCUGGGCAACAGAGUGGGACUCCAUCUCAAGACUUAAAAAAAAAAAAAAGCAGGGACAUCAUGCCCUUGGGAAAGCAUUUCUUUCCUAAACCCCUGGUGAGCUGGCCUAGGGCUGGGCCAGUAUAGGAGCACACGGAGGAAGGGGGCUCAGGAGGCAUGACUAUCAGGCCAUAUCCCAAUACUCAAGGAAAUGAGUAUUGAGCAUGUCCCAAGUCCAAUACCAGAGCAAAUCACCAUCUCUACCUGGCCCAGACCUGAGGCUUGAGGCUGCUACACCUACAAACAGCAAACCCCGCCUUUUUUUUGUUGGUUUUUUUCCAAGAUGGAGGUUGCUCUGUUGCCCAGGCUGGAGUGCAAAGUGCGAUCUCGGCCCUGCAGACUCUGA
rnacentral:lncRNA from 1 species